AGUUCCAAAAUACUGGACUGUCCUGUCGAUGACAUUGACAGUGGGGCGCCACCGUCAAUACCGGAUCGCUGGUUCAGAUUUUUGCCAUGUUGGAAACCAUAUAGUUGAACGAUGGUAGCGCCCCCCUGUCAUUGAGUUUGGCGGGACAGUUCAGCGUGGGUCAGUUAUAUUGGCCGAUUCAACCACAGAAAAAGAAUAUUAGCCAUAACCAUAAAAGUUGAAGUUCAAAUGUCAAUGUCAUUUAGUUUCGCACAGUGAUAAAUUCCAGUGACAUGCAAUUUUUGUAAUGGUAAAAUAUUUGUAAGAAACUGCAAACAAAUGCAAAUGUGCAGUCGAUGUGUGGAAUGCGACAACAUUAUACUCGAUAAUUUCAAUUAUUGCGAGGGUUGUGGCUUAGAAACAAUUAGGCAGUUAAGAAUAAACAAGGCUCGGGCACUAUCAAACCUUUUUCCUAAAAAGCAAAAAGCUGCUUCUGCUGCAUCACAAGAUUUAUUUGAUGACUUUCAGGUUGAUAACGAAGAGUUGACGCUAAUCGAGGAUUCAU